rnacentral:lncRNA from 1 species
AUUUGGCAAUCGAUAUUUCGGAAGACAUCAUCACACGUGUCAAACAAAAGUUAAAAAAAUAGCCAGUCCCAUUAAAAUCACCAAAUGCAAUCAAAUAACAUGCUCCAUUAUGUAUUGACUUUCAUGAGAAUUAGCAGGAAAAAAAAAAGUACAUUCAGUUAAGCAAAUAGCAACCUUUGAUUGUUCUUUAACAUUACUAAAAAUCUAAUUCUUACUUUACUUGAUUGUAUUGUCGAAUCUUUCUGAAAAGGUAGAAGAUAAAUCCCAUUUAUUGGAAUUGUUUGGAGGACGUGUUUUGUUCAAUGUUAGUAAUUUGACAGUUAAGAAAUGAACAGAAAAUUGUUGUUGGUAGGGCAUGACGUCUCAUGUGCUUUAAAUUUCAAAAAUUUAUAUCUUUUGGACAUGGAAACUACUCAGCAAGGCAAUGGUGACUCAACAAUAUUAUAUAUAUGGAAAUCUUUAGGUGAAUUGAAGAUGAGAACGAGGGAUUGCAUAAGCUACAAGAAUGAACGGUCAUUUGUAAAGUACAGCGAAUAGGGUCCAUUAGAUCAAAUCAAGUAGAGUAGAAGAAAAUGAAUUACACUUAUGCUACAAUCAGUUUCAAUUUCUUUCAUCUGUUAACCGUCUAUAAACAAGAAACAAGCUCUAAGCCACCAAUGGGCUAUAAACAGAGCUUCAUUCAAGAGAGUUAAAGUUACCCCAAGUUCUGAAAAUUGAGAGCAUGUACAAGUGAGCUUUUACAGAGAUUUUUCAGAGAAUGUUUUCUUAACUAUUCUAGAGGGAUUUAUAUCGGAUUUUGAGAAUUGUUCCCAUUCAAAGCCCAACCCCAAUUCAUGAGCCUAAAUAAUAAACCAAACAAAAGAGAAUAUUCUCUCCAUUUAUCUAGAAUUAUCUUUUCUAAAAAUAUCAUGAAUAAUUGGCGCUGUGGCAGUUUUAAAAUUUGGUGAUUGCUAAGAAAUUAAUGGUAAUAAGUUUGGAAUGUCGUUAUAUGUUAGGACUUGCAUUUAAAAUCUUAAAUAUUCGUAAUUAAUUAUAAAGAUCUCGGUUCACCUGCAAGCUAAAACAAUUAGCUAACUGAUAUAUGGUAUUUUUUAAAAAACUAUUCAAAAAGAAAGUAUAAUUAAUCAAACUGAUUUGGACAGUACCACACGAUUUUUUUUAAUUGACAAACCAACAAAAACAACAUAUUAAC